AUUGAACGCUGGCGGCAGGCCUAACACAUGCAAGUCGAACGAGUGGCGGACGGGUGAGUAAUGUCUGGGAAACUGCCUGAUGGAGGGGGAUAACUACUGGAACCGGUAGCUAAUACCGCAUACCAUCGGAUGUGCCCAGAGGGGAGUAGCUAGUAGGUGGGGUAAAGGCUCACCUAGGCGACGAUCCCUAGCUGGUCUGAGAGGAUGACCAGCCAAACUGGAACGGAGAAACGGUCCAGACUCCUACGGGAGGCAGCAGUGGGGAAUAUUGGACAAUGGGCGAAAGCCUGAUGGAGCCAUGCCGCGUGUAUGAAGAAGGGCUUCGGGUUGUAAAGGACUUUCAGCAGGGAGGCGUUACCCGCAGAAGAAGCACCGGCUAACUCCGUGCCAGCAGCCGCGGUAAUUC
rnacentral:rRNA from 1 species